GUGCUUGCUUUGGUAGCACAUAUACUAAAAUUGGAAUGAUACAGAGAAGAUUAGCAUGGCCCCUAUGCAAAGAUCUCUAGGUGUGGUUGCAGAAGAGGUUGUGUUU